rnacentral:lncRNA from 1 species
GGGAGGUCAUGUUUGGGGUGGUUCAAGUACAUUAGGAGAGUUACUUACUUCUGAAUGUUUUUAUGUACCUCUUCCAAAAUCACUUAUUUAGCUUAUUAGGAUUUGUGCUUCUUUUUAUUCCUUUAAGUCGAUUAUUCAGCCUCAAAUGAUUUCACAAACAAAUAGCAGCCAAAGGUAAUGAGAAAAUUACAGCACCUCACUUCAGUCAUUAAUAAGUUACUGUAAAAUUUUGGAAGCCAUUGGAUCACCACAAAAAUAAUUACACGCAUUUCAUUAUUAAAGGUAGCAUGCGCUUAAC